GUGGGGAAUAUUGGACAAUGGGCGAAAGCCUGAUCCAGCCAUGCCGCGUGUGUGAAGAAGGUCUUCGGAUUGUAAAGCACUUUAAGUUGGGAGGAAGGGCAGUAAGUUAAUACCUUGCUGUUUUGACGUUACCGACAGAAUAAGCACCGGCUAACUUCGUGCCAGCAGCCGCGGUAAUACGAAGGGUGCAAGCGUUAAUCGGAAUUACUGGGCGUAAAGCGCGCGUAGGUGGUGUUGUAAGUUGGAGGUGAAAUCACCGGGCUCAACCUGGGAACUGCCACCAAAACUGCGUGACUAGAGUACGGUAGAGGGUAGUAGAAUUGCCUGUGGAGCGGUGAAAUGCGUAGAUAUAGGAAGGAACACCAGUGGCGAAGGCGACUACCUGGACUGAUACUGGCACUGAGGUGCGAAAGCGUGGGGAGCAAACAGGAUUAGAAACCCCUGUAGUCC
rnacentral:rRNA from 1 species